GAUCCCCUGCGAUGUACGUGAUUAGCUUUCUUUUUUUGAGCCAACACCUUGUAAAUGGGAACCUUCCCUUGUUUGCCGUGUGCUAGCUUGAUAAGUCCCGCGAUAAGUGGGCGUCAGGAAGCCUGAAGCAAAUAAUAAGGUGCCCACUUUGAACUUCGGUUCAAAAGGGUCGUUAACACGGCAUAUGCGGGGGUUAU
rnacentral:other from 1 species